CUGCAGAAAGGCAGGAUGUCAUGACAGCAGGGCUGGAAGGACAGACAUCCAGCCCUAUGGAGCAGCAAUGGGCCCUCAGUGAAGCAAGAGAAGAUGGACUAUUGACCCAGGAAGAGGGGAUGGGGCACUGGGGAAAUGCAUGCUGCAGUCACAGCACCUGAACAGAGGCUGGAGAGUGGAAAUUCCCAUCGGGAGAAAGCAAACAUGAUGGAUGGCAUUCCCAUCACCCAUCCCAGCA